rnacentral:rRNA from 1 species
GACAGAGGGUGCAAACGUUGUUCGGAAUUACUGGGCGUAAAGCGUGUGUAGGCGGUCUCAUAAGUCGGGUGUGAAAGCCCCGGGCUCAACCCGGGAAGUGCACUCGAAACUGCGAGGCUAGAGUACUGGAGAGGUUGGUGGAAUUCUCGGUGUAGAGGUGAAAUUCGUAGAUAUCGAGAGGAACACCGGUGGCGAAGGCGGCCAGCUGGACAGAUACUGACGCUGAGACACGAAAGCGUGGGGAGCAAACAGG